UACGAAGGGGGCUAGCGUUGCUCGGAAUCACUGGGCGUAAAGCGCACGUAGGCGGAUUGUUAAGUCAGGGGUGAAAUCCUGGAGCUCAACUCCAGAACUGCCUUUGAUACUGGCGAUCUCGAGUCCGGGAGAGGUGAGUGGAACUGCGAGUGUAGAGGUGAAAUUCGUAGAUAUUCGCAAGAACACCAGUCGGCGAAGGCGGCUCACUGGCCCGGUACU
rnacentral:rRNA from 1 species